rnacentral:lncRNA from 1 species
UUUCAGUCAAUCCCUCCAGCAUGGACCGACCCCGAAGGCUCCCACAGUCUCAGCCUUUCCCCAGCAUCUUCAGCAUGUCCAACCUCAUUUAGGACCUUCUGCUCCAUUCUUCUGAGACUAAGUUUGACUGAGGUGGAUUAAAGCUUACAAGCUUUAAUGUUCCUGCCACCUACCACAUCCUCACCAGGGAAAGGCUGGUUGCCAGGACUUUUCUGUUGGCAUAUCCCAGCAUUCUGCUCAGGAAUGAAAGAAAGGAGUAAGACCUCCAGAGAGAAGGUGACUGGGAAGGAAGUAGACCCUUACUUCCUAUCCCAAAUGGAGCAUCUCAGUAAGGAUGGAGUCACGAUGAUAGGAAAUGUAUUUUCUAGAGCAUUUCAUGUCAAUCUACCUGCAGGAGCGUGUGCAAAAGUGACACCGAGUGAUACAAGUCUGACAACUACUGGCGUGGAAAAUGGGAGAAACCGGACUGCAUUAUACGUUUUCAGGAUGUCGAAUCCCUGUUACCACAUCCUUACAUCACUUAUCAACCAAAAAAAACCCCAACAAAACCCAAAAAGCAAGCAAGCAAGCGGCUACAGGAAGACUUGAAAAACAAAGACUCCCCGUCUUCGCUAUUAUUUCUAUUUUAAGUUAGCAAGUUUCCUGCUUGGGCAAUGACGUUUUGCAGAUGCUGCAAGAAACGCUACAUGGUAAUCAUUAAACUGGGGCAAAUCAAGUAAAAUUAUACAACUGCUCGGUAUGCAAAUAUCUGUGCAUAAAAGUUCUCCUCCGCCACUAACCGGCGUUCAGCAAGUAGUUAUUUUAGCUAAAAGCGCCGAGCAAUUCACUAGCUGUAUAACUGCUACAUCUUGUGGCAACACAUUUCAACACAGGGAGGAAAAGCAGACAAUACCCGAAAGGGAACAGCGAAGGGACUUGUUUGCUCAUAACCUUCAUACAGAUAUUCCCUGCAAACACCCACAACACCCUGCUGUCGCUGUCGGUGUAACACAAGAGGGGAGGAGCAGGGGAGGGAGGAGAAAAAUAUUAUCAUCGAAGGCGUGAUGGAGGACAGGAGAAAGUUGCAGUCAUUUCGUGGCGGCCGCAAGGCGCCCUGUCACUUCUGGCCGCAAAACCGGCCGCCCCCGAGGGCGACUUCCCCACGGGGACGAACCUCCGGUGUCGGCCCCUCUCUCCUUCCCACCUCCAUGAUGCCAAAAGUGCCCGACUCCCUCCAGCGACAACAGCCGCAUCCUCCGGCGCAGCAC